CUUCAGCGAUCCGAGCCACAGCGGCCGGCCGGUGGGCCGGCCGCUGCCGUAGGUGGCGAACAGCGCGGCGAGCUC
rnacentral:antisense_RNA from 1 species